rnacentral:rRNA from 1 species
CCUACGGGAGGCAGCAGUGGGGAAUAUUGGACAAUGGGCGGAACGCUGAUCCAGCGACGCCGCGUGAGUGAAGAAGUAUUUCUGGAUGUAAAGCUCUAUCUGUAGGGGAGAAAAUGACGGUACCUGACUAAGAAUCCACGUCUAACUACGUGCCAGCAGCCGCGGUAAUACGUAGGGGGCAAGCGUUAUCCGGAUUUAGUGGGUGUAAAGGGAGCGUAUGCGGUGCAGCAAGUCUGAUGUGAAAGGUCGGGGCCCAACCCCGGGACUGCAGUGGAAACUGUUGAACUGGAGUACAGGAGAGGUAAGCGGAAUUCGUAGUGUAGCGGUGAAAUGCGUAGAUAUUAGGAGGAACACCAGUGGCGAAGGCGGCUUACUGGACUGUAACUGACGUUGAGGCUCGAAAGCGUGGGGAGCAAACAGGAUUAGAUACCCCGGUAGUC